UCGAGCACUCUAGAUAGACUGCCGGUGAUAAACCGGAGGAAGGUGGGGAUGACGUCAAAUCAUCAUGCCCCUUAUGUCCUGGGCUACACACGUGCUACAAUGGCCGGUACAGACGGAAGCGAAGCCGCGAGGUGGAGCAAAUCUGAGAAAGCCGGUCUCAGUUCGGAUUGCAGGCUGCAACUCGCCUGCAUGAAGUCGGAAUCGCUAGUAAUCGCAGGUCAGCAUACUGCGGUGAAUACGUUCCCGGGCCUUGUACACACCGCCCGUCACACCACGAAAGUCUGCAACACCCGAAGCCGGUGAGGUAACCCGUAAGGGAGCUAGCCGUCGAAGGUGGGGCCGAUAAUUGGGGUGAAGUCGUAACAAGGUAGCCGUAUCGGAAGGUGCGGCUGGAUCACCUCCUUU
rnacentral:ncRNA from 1 species